UACGUAGGGGGCGAACGUUGUCCGGAUUUAUUGGGCGUAAAGAGCUCGUAGGCGGCUCAGCAAGUCGGCCGUGAAAGCCCGGGGCUCAACCCCGGGACGCCGGUCGAAACUGCUGUGGCUAGGGUCCGGUAGAGGAGAGUGGAAUUCCCGGUGUAGCGGUGAAAUGCGCAGAUAUCGGGAGGAACACCAGUAGCGAAGGCGGCUCUCUGGGCCGGUACCGACGCUGAGGAGAGAAAGCUAGGGGAGCAAACAGG
rnacentral:rRNA from 1 species